rnacentral:rRNA from 1 species
GAAUCUUGGACAAUGGGCGCAAGCCUGAUCCGGCCAUGCCGCGUGAGUGAUGAAGGCCUUAGGGUUGUAAAGCUCUUUCACCGGUGACGAUAAUGACGGUAGCCGGAGAAGAAGCCCCGGCUAACUUCGUGCCAGCAGCCGCGGUAAUACGAAGGGGGCUAGCGUUGUUCGGAAUUACUGGGCGUAAAGCGCACGUAGGCGGACGACUAAGUCAGGGGUGAAAGCCCAGGGCUCAACCCUGGAAUUGCCUUUGAUACUGGUCGUCUUGAGGUCGGAAGAGGAGAGUGGAAUUCCCAGUGUAGAGGUGAAAUUCGUAGAUAUUGGGAAGAACACCCGUGGCGAAGGCGGCUCUCUGGUCCGAAUCUGACGCUGAGGUGCGAAAGCGUGGGGAGCAAACAGG